AUUGAACGCUGGCGGCAGGCCUAACACAUGCAAGUCGAGCGAGCGGCGGACGGGUGAGUAAUGUAUGGGGACAGCCCGAUAGAGGGGGAUAAAUACUGGAAAAGGUAGCUAAUAACGCAUACUAUCGGCUAACCCAUCUGGGAUUAGAGAGUAGGUGAGGUAAUUGCUAAACUGGGCGACGAUCCCUAGAUGGUCUGAGAGGAUGAGCAGCCACACGGUGAAGGAGACACAGCCCAGCCUCCUACGGAGGAAGCAGUGGGGAAGAUUGCAACAUGGGCGCAAGGCUGAGGCAGCCAUGCCGGGUGUAUGAAGAAGGCCCUAGGGUUGUAAAGUAAUUUCAGUCGUGAGGCGUGACCGACAGAAGAAGCACCGGCUAACUCCGUGCCAGCAGCGGCGGUAAUUC
rnacentral:rRNA from 1 species